rnacentral:rRNA from 1 species
AGAGUUUGAUCCUGGCUCAGGACGAACGCUGGCGGCGUGCCUAAUACAUGCAAGUAGAACGCUGAAGAGAGGAGCUUGCUCUUCUUGGAUGAGUUGCGAACGGGUGAGUAACGCGUAGGUAACCUGCCUUGUAGCGGGGGAUAACUAUUGGAAACGAUAGCUAAUACCGCAUAACAAUGGAUGACACAUGUCAUUUAUUUGAAAGGGGCAAUUGUUCCACUACAAGAUGGACCUGCGUUGUAUUAGCUAGUAGGUGAGGUAAUGGCUCACCUAGGCGACGAUACAUAGCCGACCUGAGAGGGUGAUCGGCCACACUGGGACUGAGACACGGCCCAGACUCCUACGGGAGGCAGCAGUAGGGAAUCUUCGGCAAUGGGGGCAACCCUGACCGAGCAACGCCGCGUGAGUGAAGAAGGUUUUCGGAUCGUAAAGCUCUGUUGUAAGUCAAGAACGGGUGUGAGAGUGGAAAGUUCACACUGUGACGGUAGCUUACCAGAAAGGGACGGCUAACUACGUGCCAGCAGCCGCGGUAAUACGUAGGUCCCGAGCGUUGUCCAGAUUUAUUGGGCGUAAAGCGAGCGCAGGCGGUUUGAUAAGUCUGAAGUUAAAGGCUGUGGCUCAACCAUAGUUCGCUUUGGAAACUGUCAAACUUGAGUGCAGAAGGGGAGAGUGGAAUUCCAUGUGUAGCGGUGAAAUGCGUAGAUAUAUGGAGGAACACCGGUGGCGAAAGCGGCUCUCUGGUCUGUAACUGACGCUGAGGCUCGAAAGCGUGGGGAGCGAACAGGAUUAGAUACCCUGGUAGUCCACGCCGUAAACGAUGAGUGCUAGGUGUUGGAUCCUUUCCGGGAUUCAGUGCCGCAGCUAACGCAUUAAGCACUCCGCCUGGGGAGUACGACCGCAAGGUUGAAACUCAAAGGAAUUGACGGGGGCCCGCACAAGCGGUGGAGCAUGUGGUUUAAUUCGAAGCAACGCGAAGAACCUUACCAGGUCUUGACAUCCCGAUGCUAUUUCUAGAGAUAGAAAGUUACUUCGGUACAUCGGUGACAGGUGGUGCAUGGUUGUCGUCAGCUCGUGUCGUGAGAUGUUGGGUUAAGUCCCGCAACGAGCGCAACCCCUAUUGUUAGUUGCCAUCAUUCAGUUGGGCACUCUAGCGAGACUGCCGGUAAUAAACCGGAGGAAGGUGGGGAUGACGUCAAAUCAUCAUGCCCCUUAUGACCUGGGCUACACACGUGCUACAAUGGUUGGUACAACGAGUUGCGAGUCGGUGACGGCGAGCUAAUCUCUUAAAGCCAAUCUCAGUUCGGAUUGUAGGCUGCAACUCGCCUACAUGAAGUCGGAAUCGCUAGUAAUCGCGGAUCAGCACGCCGCGGUGAAUACGUUCCCGGGCCUUGUACACACCGCCCGUCACACCACGAGAGUUUGUAACACCCGAAGUCGGUGAGGUAACCUUUUGGAGCCAGCCGCCUAAGGUGGGACAGAUGAUUGGGGUGAAGUCGUAACAAGGUA